rnacentral:misc_RNA from 1 species
GAUGAAGAACGUAGCUAAAUGCGAUAAGUAAUGUGAAUUGCAGAAUUCAGUGAAUCAUCGAAUCUUUGAACGCACAUUGCGCCCGUCGGCAUUCCGGCGGGCACGCCUGUCCGAGCGUCAUCAGGAACCCAUCGGGCGGUCCCCUCGGGGACCGCCCGGCGUUGGGGCGCGCCGCCCGCGCCGUCAGGCGAAAGGCGGCGGCCCUCGAACCCAUCGGCGGUGCAUCGACGCGAGACCGACCGGCGUUGCGGAAUCGUCAAUCCGCCGGCGGCCGUCGAAGCUCCCUUCCGAAAGCUCCACGAGACGAAAAGGACCUCGGAUCAGGCGGGGUUACCCGCUGAACUUAAGCAUAUCAAUAAGCGGAGGA